rnacentral:pre_miRNA from 1 species
AAUGUACUCCCUCCGUCCCAAAAUUAUUGUUUUUGAUUUGUCUAGAUAUGGAUGUAUCUAGUCAUGUGUUAGUAUUUAGAUACAUCCAUUUCUAGACAAACGUAAGACAAGAAUUUUGGGACGGAGGGAGUAACAG